AAUCGGCCCCAGGAAAGGCAGAAGCUCUAAGCUUGCCCAACUGGGCAGAGGGAUCCUCCUCUUGUCACCACAGAUGUGCUCCAUCAGCAUCCCAGGAGGAAAGGAUUCUCUGCUCAGCAUCAUUGCUCCCAGAUGAUGUCUACCUUACAGAACAACUUUCUGGGCUACCUCCUCUGGGAGCAGGUAACCACUCCAAUUCUCUGGAUUUUGGUGUUUUAACAAGGAUUUAAUUACAAAGAGAUAAACACCGUGGAAUGGUUCAAAUUAUCCAGCAGCCUGCCUCCAUCUAAGUGGGCUGAAGAGUCAGACUAAAAGCAUCUCGUAUCAAUUCCAACCACAGCUACAAACAUCCCUGCUGCAACACUGAUACGUGAGGAGAAAAACUUUCAGCAGGGAGAGGGAAAGGAAAAUGUCACUUGAUGAAAAGCAAACAGUUUUGCUGCACUGUGGUGAUGCCAGACAGUGUUGUUUGGAAAGAAGAACUGAAAUGGGCUAUUAAAGUUUGGGUUUGGGCUUUUCUUUUUUUGAGUGGUGUGUUUCUUCCUUUGUUUUUAUCCUCCCUCCCCCCAACCCUGUUUGAACAGUCUUCUCUAAUGAAAUAAAAGGCAAGAUCAGA